GACGAACGCUGGCGGCGUGCUUAACACAUGCAAGUCGAACGGAAAGGCCCUGCUUUUGUGGGGUGCUCGAGUGGCGAACGGGUGAGUAACACGUGAGUAACCUGCCCUUGACUUUGGGAGAACUUCAGGAAACUGGGGCUAAUACCGGAUAGGAGCUCCUGCUGCAUGGUGGGGGUUGGAAAGUUUCGGCGGUUGGGGAUGGACUCGCGGGUUAUCAGCUUGUUGGUGGGGUAGUGGCUUACCAAGGCUUCGACGGGUAGCCGGCCUGAGAGGGUGACCGGCCACAUUGGGACUGCGAUACGGCCCAGACUCGUACGGGAGGCAGCAGUGGGGAAUAUUGCACAAUGGGCGGAAGCCUGAUGCAGCAACGCCGCGUGCGGGAUGACGGCCUUCGGGUUGUAAACCGCUUUCGCCUGUGACGAAGCGUGAGUGACGGUAAUGGGUAAAGAAGCACCGGCUAACUACGUG
rnacentral:rRNA from 1 species